rfam:Paenibacillus sp. FSL H7-0331 NODE_3_length_462182_cov_1.26687_ID_12079, whole genome shotgun sequence.
AAAAUCCUGCGAUGUUCGUUACGGUUUUAAGUUGUUUUGAACCAAUGACUGUUUCUUGGGAGACCUACAUCAAACCAUGGCUGACAUGCCCUCGAAAAGGGACCUCAAAAGUGGUUUUGCGGACACCCACCUGCGAGAGCGGGUUUGAAGCGCUAAACCGGACGGCAUUUGCGGGUUUUUU